rnacentral:misc_RNA from 1 species
GCAAACUUGGUCAUUUAGAGGAAGUAAAAGUCGUAACAAGGUCUCCGUUGGUGAACCAGCGGAGGGAUCAUUACAGAGUUGCAAAACUCCCUAAACCAUCGUGAACCCACCCCUAAACAGUUGCUUCGGCGGCGCCCAGGGCCCCGCGCCCCAGGCCCGCCGGAGACCCCCAAACUCUUGUUUUUACACUGGCCUCUCUGAGUACUGUACUUUAAUAAGUCAAAACUUUCAACAACGGAUCUCUUGGUUCUGGCAUCGAUGAAGAACGCAGC